rnacentral:rRNA from 1 species
GUGGGGAAUAUUGGACAAUGGGGGCAACCCUGAUCCAGCCAUGCCGCGUGAGUGAUGAAGGCCCUAGGGUUGUAAAGCUCUUUUGUGCGGGAAGAUAAUGACGGUACCGCAAGAAUAAGCCCCGGCUAACUUCGUGCCAGCAGCCGCGGUAAUACGAAGGGGGCUAGCGUUGCUCGGAAUCACUGGGCGUAAAGGGUGCGUAGGCGGGUCUUUAAGUCAGGGGUGAAAUCCUGGAGCUCAACUCCAGAACUGCCUUUGAUACUGAGGAUCUUGAGUUCGGGAGAGGUGAGUGGAACUGCGAGUGUAGAGGUGAAAUUCGUAGAUAUUCGCAAGAACACCAGUGGCGAAGGCGGCUCACUGGCCCGAUACUGACGCUGAGGCACGAAAGCGUGGGGAGCAAACAGGAUUAGAUACCCUGGUAGUCC